GCGCGUGUAGCUCAGCUGGUGAGAGCGCAGGUCUUAUAAACCUGAGGUCGUGGGUUCGAGUCCCACCUCGCGCA
rnacentral:tRNA from 1 species